rnacentral:lncRNA from 1 species
AUUCAAGUCCAGGAACAUUUAACCAAAGAUUUCUCCAUCUCUUCGAUAAAACGCUUGUCUUAACAGAAUCUUUGGUGGUAAGGUUUAAGAGAAUCUGAGUUAGCAAAGAAUCCGGCAAUUCGCUGAUAAAAUCGCACUCCUCCAUCCCUAGAGCAUGAGCAACAACAUAAAUAUCAAAAUUGAUUCCUUAGGCGAUGAGUUUCUCAAUUUUUAUCCCAAAUUUUAGGGUUCGCAGUCGGUCAAAAAUUCUUACGUAAUCCAAGGAGAAAUGAAGAACUAACCUUCUCCGUAGAUAUGAUAUGAGGGAAGAUUAUCGCCGGAGAUUCCGCCAAUUGAUCACUGAUAAUUAGAGAGAUCGGGUUCGAGAAAUCCUCCUACUAGGGUAUUUAUUUUAUUUUCGGGUUUGGGCCCAAAGAGCCACAUAAAAAAUAAUUUCAUAAACCUAGCAGGACCAAACCAAGUUACUUGAGGUUUACGGUAAACCUUAUUCAAACCUGUAAAAUAAUAAUGUCGGCCAAAAAAUGAAGUAGUAUAAACAACCAUGAGCCAAAGCCAAUUGGGAAGAAGAGAAUGACAAUUGAGCCAAUGUAGAGCUGCUGUAUGAAUGCGGUCAAUGCAGGAUCGGAGUUAAUUGCUUCUUGCUCGAAUCUGACUGUCAAAAAUUGGUCGGGGCUAUAAAUAUCCGAUCGGUUCUGCUGGAAGUUCAUGGGAUCAUCUCUGAUAUCUUUCUCAGUAUUAAUCGCUUUUCUUCGUUUAUUUGUCGUUUUAUCCCUCGGUCAACUAAUGUUGUGGCUGAUUCUCUAGUUAAGCAUUGUUUUAGUUUGUACGGACAGAACAAUAAUUGUUGAGAAAUAAAUAUACUUGGGGUGCACACAAAAAAAAAAAAAAAAAAAGAUACAACAAAUACCAUGACGACAUAUUUCUCUCAUUCCUUUGCUACUUUUAGUAUAUAAGAAAGAAAAGAUAAAUGAAAGUGAGAUUGAAAUCAAAGCAAGAAAAGUUACAUAGUCUUGACCUUUAAUGACCAUUUGUGGCUAAGGAAUUCAAACAAGAAUGACCUACUAAAAAUGACCAUUUGUUUACAGAUACUUCCUACACUAAGGUUCAAUGAAACAACGCUCAUGUGCUCACCAGCAUCAUCCGCUUCACGUCAGUCAAUGAUAACUUGACAUGUGGGAGAAAGCCUUGUGGAUGUAAGAAGCUUCGUGUAGCUCUCAUGGUCUUCUUGCUUAUUCGUAGAAUAAUAUAUGAAACUUAGAGUCAGUUUCUUUAAGACUGCUGAAUUCUCAAGAAAGUAAUUCGCUAGUUUAAUCCCACGUUUCCCCUUCAACAUCACUUGUUUAAUCUGAACAUACUCGAGAGUCGAUAUCAAACACUGAGGCACUUUUUGAAAGUCGAUAUUCUCUCGCUUAAAAGGAAGCUCCUGCGAGAAAAAAGAACAAGAUGAGUUUACAAUAUGUUUCAACAAUGUUCUAUAGCCAAAUCCCAGAUCCAAGAAAAUUCUUACCAAGAUGAGAUUUUUUAGAUUUGGGCAGCUCUCAAGAAAGGUUGGCAAUAGUUGUAACGAUGAGUUGGAGAAAAACGCCUGCAAAUGAUAUAAGUUAUGGAAUCGGGGAAUCGGUCCCCGUUUGGAAUAACGAUAAAGAACCUGCAAGAAGAAUGAAAAGGAUACAUGUGAGAAUUUUUUCAUAGAGAAUUACUACACUAACUCUUUAUAUAUAUGCAUCAGAUCAGAGAGUAUAUAUAUUUUAUACCUUUAAAGUCCUCUCCCAGAUGAUCAUAUGUCUUACACUAGAUAUCCCGGUUAAAAAAUCACGGAAAAUAUUAAAAUCAAAAUGUCUCAAAGGAUGCAAUUUGGAACCAAUGUCGAUCCUGAACAAGGAACUAAGUUUCUUUACCAUAAUGCUAUCCGAGUGACACUGUUCAACAGUCAUAUACUUGAGUUGUGGAGUAUCAAUCUCAACUGAAAAAUCUGUACCCCUCGUAUUGAUAAAAGGUGUAAAAGACACUUGAAGGCUUUUCAGUGUCUGAGACCUUAUACGCAGAAACAGCAGAACUUUUUGAUUCAAAAUACCAAAAGGCCUAAGCAGUUGAAGAUCUUCAAGAACAGGACAUCCUGAGAUGAGCUUCUCCACAACAAUAGGACCAUCCUCACCGUAACAAACGUUGCAUAGACGCAUGAUCUUGAGACAAGGUAGAGAAACAACAAACUCUGGUUUCUUUAACUCUAUAUUUACAAGGUUCAAAGAGACCAAUGUCUUGCUCUUGUAAAUGUUCUGGCGUAUGAAAUCAUUUCUGUUGCAAGUAUACAUUAAAACAUCCAAGUGUUGAAUUCCACGAUCAACCACUGUACCGAUCAGGUCCAUGAAUCGAUCUCGAUAGCCAUUGCAUUCGAAAUAAGUUAUCUCGAACUUUUCCAAGUGUGACUGGCAGUUAAACUCCAUAAAUCUGUCCAUAAACCUUGCGAAGCCUUCUUCACAAGGAUUGGGGAAUUCACUGGUGCGUAAUUUAAGUCCAGGAACAUCUGGUCGAUAAAACGCUUGUCUUAACAGAAUCUUCGGUCUGAAGGUUUAAGAGAAUCUGAGUUAGUAAAGAAUCCGGCAAUUCGCUGAUAUAAUCGUAUUCCUCCAUCCCUAGAGUAUGAGGAACAACAUCAAUAUCAAAAUUGAUUCCUAAGGCGAUGAGUUUCUCAAAUUUUUAUCCCAAAUUCUAGGGUUCAAAGUCGGUCAAAAUUUCUUACGUAAUCCAAGGAGAAAUGAAA